rnacentral:sRNA from 1 species
GCCGGGUGCAGUGGUACACACCUGUAAUCCCAGUGGCUUGGGAGGCUGAGACAGGAGGAUCACAAGUUCAAAGCCAGCCUCAGCAACGGUGAGGCCCUAAGCAACUCAGUGAGACCCUGUCUCUC